CAGAGACCUCCAAUAGACCCAGGUCCAGUGUCUUGGCAGGGUGAAAUGGCACUGAUAUGGUGUCCUGCAGGAUGCUGUGUCCUGCAAUCCUGUGUGCUGUGCUACAGACGCGUCUGGAAGCCAACCUGAAAUAAGCACAGUCUCUCCACAGAGGAGUGAAAGAGGCUCCCAGAAGUGAGACUGAGUGCCUGUUGCAGUAUGACGAGGACACAGUGACCAGAGACCUUCAGUAGACCCUUCUGGCAUGAUUGGCGGCUGAAGAACAUGAAAUCAACAGCAAUGUUUAUAAUGUUGUACAUACCUGUAUAGUCUGUAUUAAAAGGCAGUACCUGUA